GAUGAACGCUAGCGGGAGGCUUAACACAUGCAAGUCGAGGGGCAGCAUAGGGUAGCAAUACUCUGAUGGCGACCGGCAAACGGGUGAGUAACGCGUAUGCAACCUACCCUGUACAGGGGGAUAACCCGGAGAAAUUCGGACUAAUAUCCCGUAAUAAUAUCCGGAGGCAUCUUUGGAUAUUUAAAGUUCCGACGGUACGGGAUGGGCAUGCGUAACAUUAACUGGUUGGUAAGGUAACGGCUUACCAAGGCUAUGAUGUUUAGGGGUCCUGAGAGGGUGGUCCCCCACACUGGUACUGAGACACGGACCAGACUCCUACGGGAGGCAGCAGUGAGGAAUAUUGGUCAAUGGGCGCAAGCCUGAACCCAGCCAUCCCGCGUGCAGGAAGACGGCCCUAUGGGUUGUAAACUGCUUUUCCAGGGAGAGAAACUUACGCACGUGUUGCGUGACUGACGGUACCCUGGGAAUAAGCAUCGGCUAACUCCGUG
rnacentral:rRNA from 1 species